GACGAACGCUGGCGGCGUGCUUAACACAUGCAAGUCGAACGGAAAGGCCCUGCUUUUGUGGGGUGCUCGAGUGGCGAACGGGUGAGUAACACGUGAGUAACCUGCCCUUGACUUUGGGAUAACUUCAGGAAACGGGGGCUAAUACCGGAUAGGAGCUCCUGCUGCAUGGUGGGGGUUGGAAAGUUUCGGCGGUUGGGGAUGGACUCGCGGCUUAUCAGCUUGUUGGUGGGGUAGUGGCUUACCAAGGCUUUGACGGGUAGCCGGCCUGAGAGGGUGACCGGCCACAUUGGGACUGAGAUACGGCCCAAACUCCUACGGGAGGCAGCAGUGGGGAAUAUUGCACAAUGGGCGGAAGCCUGAUGCAGCAACGCCGCGUGCGGGAUGACGGCCUUCGGGUUGUAAACCGCUUUCGCCUGUGACGAAGCGUGAGUGACGGUAAUGGGUAAAGAAGCACCGGCUAACUACGUG
rnacentral:rRNA from 1 species